UACGUAGGGGGCGAGCGUUAUCCGGAUUUACUGGGCGUAAAGCGCGUUAAGGCGGUUGGCAAAGUUGGUUGUGAAAUCUCAGGGCUCAACCCUGAAAUUGCGACCAAUACUGGUCGACUAGAGUGCAAGAGAGGAAGGUGGAAUUCCCGGUGUAGUAGUGAAAUGCGUAGAUAUCGGGAGGAACGACCAGUGGCGGAAGGCGGAGCCUUCUC
rnacentral:rRNA from 1 species